rnacentral:lncRNA from 1 species
UAGAUAUUAUUGGAGUAAAUGUUGGUGAGAUAGAUAUGAAUGAAGUAAAUGUUGGUGGGAUUGAUAAUAAUGGAGUAAAUGUUGGUGAGAUAGAUGUUAAAUAGGGUAAAUGUUGGGGAGAUUGAUAUUAAUGGAGUAAAUGUUGGUCAGAUUGAUAUUAUGAAGUAAAUAUUGGUGAGAUAGAUGUUAAAUAAAGUAAAUGUUGGUGAGAGAUGUUAAAUGAAGUAAAUGUUGGUGAGAUAGAUGUUAAAUUGAGUAAAUAUUGGUGAGAUAGAUUUUAAAUGGAGUAAAUAUUGGUAAGAUAGAUGUUAAAUGGAAUAAAUAUUGGUAAGGUAGAUGUUAAAUGGAGUAAAUAUUGGUGAGCUAGAUGUUAAAUGGAGUAAAUGUUCGUGAGAUUUAUGUUAAAUUUAGUAAAUAUUGGUGAGAUAGAUGUUAAAUGGAGUAAAUAUUGGUAAGGUAGAUGUUAAAUUUAGUAAAUAUUGGUGAGAUAGAUGUUAAAUGGAGUAAAUAUUGGCGAGCUAGAUGUUAAAUUGAGUAAAUGCUGGUGAGAAAGAUGUUAAAUUUAGUUAAUGUUGAUAAGUUGUUUAUUUGGGUGAGUUAAGUGCUUUUGUUUAUUUACGGUUAGCUUAGAUUUCCAAAAUUUUAGAGUGGUUAGCAGCAGCGCUAGCCGUGGUUAGCAGCAGCACUAGCCGCAGUUAGCAGUGCUUAGCACUAAUAAAUGCCGUCUAACAGUGCUACACUGAGGAAUCCUGAGUGUACCAGUAAGCCAGGGUGCUAACAGCAAGCGGUUCAUCACAUAGCUGUCCAAUAUACACAUCUCUGAAUGGCAAAAGACACAGCUCGUCUCUGUUUGAGGAGAAGAUGACAGAGAUCAGCGAGAAGGAGAACGAGCCGCAGAACCAGCGGGACUUCCAGCGUUCCCCAGGAACAGUGAGCGGCCAGCCUGAGUCUAAGGGUUUUUUCAGUUUAGGUCUCGACUGCCCCUAUUAACACUGCUCCACAAAAAAAAUUCAACCAUCCGUUGAU